rnacentral:rRNA from 1 species
AAUACUAACCAGUCACCGAUAGCGAAUAGUACCGUGAGGGAAAGGUGAAAAGAACCCAGAGAUGGGAGUGAAAUAGAAUCUGAAACCAUAUGCCUACAACGUGUUAGAGCACAUUAAUGUGUGAUAGCGUGCGUUUUGAAGUAUGAGCCAGGGAGUUAUUGUAGCAUGCAAGGUUAAGUUGUAGAGACGGAGCCGUAGGGAAACCGAGUCUUAAUAGGGCGAUUAGUAUGUUGCAAUAGACCCGAAACGGGAUGAUCUAGCCAUGGGCAGGUUGAAGUUUGGGUAACACCAAAUGGAGGACCGAACCGACGUUCGUUGAAACGACCGCGGAUGACCUGUGGUUAGGGGUGAAAUUCCAAUCGAAUCCCGUGAUAGCUGGUUCUCGCCGAAAUAAUUUUAGGAUUAGCGUUGGAUUAUGAAUGUAUGAAGGUAAAGCACUGAAUCUAUGAUGGCGUCACCUCGAUGUACUGAAUAGAAUUAAACUCUGAAUGUCAUACAUUUUACUCCAGCAGUCAGACUGUGGGGGAUAAGCUUCAUAGUCGCGAGGGAAAAAGCCCAGAUCGUUAGCUAAGGUCCCUAAAUUAUGCUAAGUGGAAAAGGAUGUUGAAAUACUUAAACAGCAAGGAUGUUGGCUUAGAAGCAGCCAUCGUUUAAAGAGUGCGUAACAGCUCACUUGUCGAGUGUUUCUGCGCCGAAGAUUCAACGGGGCUAAGCAUAAUACCGAAGCUACGGGCUGCAUUGCAGCGGUAGGCGAGUGUUCUAUAUGGGACGAAGGUAGAUCGUGAGAACUACUGGACUUUAUAGAAGUAAGAAUCCUGGCAUAAGUAACGUAUGGAAGUGAGAAUCUUCCAAGCCGUAUUGACUAAGGUUUCCAGGACUAGGUUCGUCCAUCCUGGGUUAGUCGGUCCUAAGGUCAGGCCGAAAGGCGUAGCCGAUGGGAAACAGGUUAAUAUUCCUGUACCAAUAUAUGAAUGAUGGAGUGACGGAGAAGGUUAUUGCAGCCCGGUUAUUGGAUUCCGGGUUAAAUGUCAAGUUUUGUGGGUUGGCAAAUCCGCCCGCUAUAAUAAUGAGGCAUGAAUACGAGUGAACCCUUCGGGUAGUAGCGAAGCUGCAUAUAUCAUGCUUCCAAGAAAAGCUUCUAGUUUAUCAUUAUAUUGUCCGUACCGAGAACGAACACACGUGGUCAAGGAGAGUAUCCUAAGGCUAGCGAGUUAACUAUUGUUAAGGAACUCUGCAAAUUCAUCCCGUACGUUCGCAAUAAGGGAUGCUCAAGUUUCUUGAGCCGCAGUGAAGAGCGAGGGGGAACUGUUUAACAAAAACACAGCUCUAUGCUAAAUCGCAAGAUGAUGUAUAUGGGGUGACACCUGCCCAGUGCCGGAAGGUUAAGGAAGGAAGUUAGGAGCAAUCUGAAGCUUUUGACCGAAGCCCUGGUGAACGGCGGCCGUAACUAUAACGGUCCUAAGGUAGCGAAAUGCCUUGUCGGGUAAAUUCCGUCCCGCUUGAAUG